rnacentral:rRNA from 1 species
UACAGAGGUCUCAAGCGUUGUUCGGAUUUACUGGGCGUAAAGGGCGCGUAGGCGGUCAGCACAAGUCAGUUGUGAAAUCUCCGGGCUUAACUCGGAAAGGUCAACUGAUACUGUGCGACUAGAGUGCGGAAGGGGCAACUGGGAAUUCUCGGUGUAGCGGUGAAAUGCGUAGAUAUCGAGAGGAACACCUGCGGCGAAGGCGGGUUGCUGGGCCGACACGUGACGCUGGACUGCGCGAAAGCCAGGGGAGCGAACGGG